rfam:Mesocricetus auratus contig191463, whole genome shotgun sequence.
GAAAAGGCCCUUUUUAGGGCCACCACAGAAUCAGUAAAGGAGCUAG